rnacentral:lncRNA from 13 species
UUUGGGAUUCCCGGGGUGGGGGUGCCCUAUCCAAGGAGGGAUCCGCUGAGCCUCAGGCGCCAGCUGUGGAGGCGUUAGCUGCUGUCCAGUCUGUAGCCGACGCGCGGAUCCAACAAGAGCCAGUGGCUGCGCAUCGGCUGCUGCAGAUUCUUGAGCCUUUUGAAGGAUAUUCAAAUGCAAGAGAAAGAGAAGCCAAAGGGAGUCGGCAGCAGAUGACAAAAUGAGAGAGGAACUAGGAAGAGUCACACUCUGUUGCACAGGCUGGAAUGCAAUGGCGUGAUCUCAGUGCACUCUCCUCCUCCUGGGUUCAAGUGAUUCUCCCACCUCAGCCUCCCAAGAAGCUGGAGUUACAGGCAUGCGCCACCAAUCCCAGCUAAAUUUUGUAUUUUUAGUAGAGCUAGGGAUUCACCAUAUUGGCCAGGCUGGUCUCGAACUCCUGACCUCAUGAUCCACCCAUGUCAGCCUUCCAAAGGGCUGGUAUUAACAGGUGUGAGCUACCAUGCCCGGCCUGAUAUGGCUUUUCUUUAAAGGCACAAGUUCAGAAACAUAAACAUUAUUUACUCCCAGUUAACUGAGUAGUUAUUGUAAACUGUUGUAAUUAUUGCGAGUGUUGAGUUAAAGAACAUUUUGUAGCAUUAAUAAUGGCAAAAUACUUGAAUAUAAUAAUUGUCAAUUAAUUUGUAAAUUACUCUAAGGAGCAAAAAGAUUUAAUUGCCAUUUUAUUAAAUUUUACUUUUAUAUUAUGUGGUAAGCUGUUUGAUUAUCUAAAAGUUCACUUAACAGAAUUUUAAGAGAAUAUUUAUAAGUUGAAAAAUUGAGGUUGAACAAAAAAGGGAAAGAAAAACUAUUUAUUGUGAACUUUUGAUUAGUGACCCUGUAGCCCUUUUUCCACAAUCACUCUGACCAUUUCAACACUUACUUUCCUAAAGGCUUUUUGAAGUAUUUUGUGUGGACAACCUCUAGAGAAUUAGAAACAAAAUGGUAAUAUAAAACAGGGCAUACUAAUUGGCAGUGUCAUAGAGUCACUGAGAAUAAAUUCCAAAGUGUGAGAAUUGUGGUCUGUCA